UCGCAUGAUGCCCUUUUAUAAGAGAAAAGGAAACACUAUUAAGGCAUCACUUCAAAAGCGUCUCCUUAGAUAGUUUAAAUAUCACUUAUAAAGCGUAGCCAAAUCUAAAAAGCUAUGGGUACAUUUUUUAGAUCAAAGGGAACGCUUUUAAAAAGUAACCCAUUUGUUAAGUUUUGGGUGCGCUUCAUAAGUGUCUCCUAAUAUUAAAAUACCAAAUAAACACUUAAGUGAAAUUUUGUUUGCCCUGUAUCACCUUCACUCCCUCACUCACGCAAUACACACCCUCCUCCUCACUCAACACACACGAAGAAAUCAGAAAGCUAAGGGGGAGAACGGGAAGAAGAAGAGAGGAGAGGGAAGGAAGGAGAGAACGAUGGCGGCUAACUGGCUAGGGAUCUGCCGUCGUCGUCGUCGAAUGCCAGUGAGAGAGAGAGAGCUCGAGGAAGAGAAAACGCAAUGGAGGAGAGAAGAAAGGGGUGCUCCGUCGCCGCUGAAGCUCCACCGCCGCUGCUAGGGCUUGUUGCCGUCGCCGUUCUGCCACCGCCAGGCUGAUGUACCGCCGUCGAGGAUCUCGAAUGGGAUGUCUCACAGCCGUUGUGCUCUGUCGCCGCGCUGCCAUCGACUGGAGCUCAUCGCUGAGUUGCUGCACCGUCUCCAAGCCGUUGUGUCGCCGCUCAUCUCUUCUUCACCGUCGCCGCUCAUCACCAUGGUCGUAUCCUCUGUCACCAGGUAAUGGAAGAUCUCUGUGAGCGCUAUUUUGACCCUAAUUAUUUGAACUUCUUUCACAUGAUAAGGGGUCUGAUUUAGAUAGUUUAUUAGAGUAGAAUAAUGUAACAUCUUUAGCCAAAAUAAUUGUUGGCUCAACACCUCUGAAGCAGAAUCAGAAGCAUGAAGGUAGUGCAAGGAUUAUUAGAAGCACACUCUCAAACAAGGAAAUGCGCAGAAGUCAGUCAGCUAGGCCUCAAUCGAAGCAGGCAAUACCAACAUCUGAUCUACAAAAAAAAAGACAACCACUUCGUCCUGUACAUGUGCAAUUGAUUUUGAAGAAAUUUAUUUUUAGAGAAAUAAAUUUUAUUUUUAGAGAAAUAAUUUGUAUUAUUCCCAAAUAGAAGA